rnacentral:rRNA from 1 species
UACGGAGGGUGCAAGCGUUAUCCGGAUUCACUGGGUUUAAAGGGUGCGUAGGUGGGCAAGUAAGUCAGUGGUGAAAUCUCCGGGCUUAACCCGGAAACUGCCAUUGAUACUAUUUGUCUUGAAUACUGUGGAGGUCAGCGGAAUAUGUCAUGUAGCGGUGAAAUGCUUAGAUAUGACAUAGAAAACCGAUAGCGAAGGCAGCUUGCUACACAGUCAUUGACACUGAGGCACGAAAGCGUGGGGAGCAAACAGG